GGCAUGGUGAGACACAGUACAUUACUUGAGCAAGUAUUUGUAGAGCGUCGUGGAGGGCGGGAAGCAACAAAGGCAGCUCGCCAUCAGAUACCAGCCUCUCUCGUUGUUUCUCUCGUGCUCGUUGCGCCACGUCUGAUUGCA